UUUCCUGAGAAAGGUUGUUUUUGAAUAAAUUCUAUGUAUUCGGGGUCUAUCUCAAAACUAGAUGCUAUGAUAGGCUUUGAAGAUUUUGGUGGUUCGAGAUGUGUGCCCAUAGGUCUAUGAAAUUCAUAGAUAGACAUGUUUGAAUUCAUAAUAGACCAGAGAUCAAGGAUUAGAUAAGGAGAAAGAAUAGCAGAGAUGAGGCAAAGGAUAAAAGGAAAAUAUUUUUAUUUAUUUAUUUAUUUUUUAUAAAAUGAUUAAACUAGUUCGUAGUCAACUCAGCAACCGUUUCCCCGGCAACGGCGCCAAAAAUGCUUGUUGACACUUGCUAACAACACUUGAAUACUAGGUUGUCAUCCCCAGCAUGGCACUAGAGUGUACUAUGGUAUUUAUACGCACACAGAUAAUCCGCAAGCGCAUGGAUACCGUUGAAGCUUUUACCCGGUUAAAGGUUUUAUCGUAUCCACAGGGAAACGGGAGAACUGAUCUACGCUCUAACUUAACCAAGAUAAGUA
rnacentral:lncRNA from 1 species